ensembl:lncRNA
GGAAAGCUCUACUUCUGUGUACUCUUCUGUGCUGUACCUCUUAUUUAGGACUCACACAAGUGCUGUCUGAAGAUGUGGACGUGCUGCAGCGUCUGUCUCUGCGUGCUGAGCAGAGGUCCCGCUCCGUCCCUGUUGGGGUCAUCUCUCUUCGCUCCGGAGUCAUCCUCACUCCCCGAGCGCGGGUUACCACAGCAACACGCUCCUUGCUCCCACUUGACCUUGUCUGGAACUCCACACUUCUGCUGAGUGUUCGCUCGCACCGUGUCAACUCCGCCUUCCUUUUCUCCGUCUUUUCCGGCUCUGAGAUCCAGCUGGGCCUGGAGAUUUCCCCUGGGACAUUAACGCUCCACUCUGGACCCCAGAACUCUGUCAGCUUCCCCUAUAACCUCCAUGACGGCCGUUGGCACAACCUGGCCAUCAUCCUGGCCGGCCAGACAGUCACCUUGCUGACUGCCUGUAACCACAGUGACAAUGAGGGUGUGUCCCAUAAGCUACCGUUGCCCCCUCUAGCCCGUUUGAACCCCUGCGGAACAUUUCGGCUGGGUGGUAGCAGCGCCCUUUUGCCCGGUGUCCCCCCAUUUGAGGGUGCCGUAUGCCAGUUCGACAUUGUUCCCACUGCACGUGCGCAAACAAACUACUGCAGUGCCAUCCGCAGGCAGUGCAGAGAAAAUGACACCUACAGGCCAGUCCCGUCCCCUAUCCUACUGCCCCUUCCUCAUCGCCAUGCCUCACCCACCUCUGCCGAAAAUUUGUCUUCUAAUCAUACCCUUGCAAGUGGCAUCCCAUGGAUAUCCCUGACUGGAACUGCUGGGCCUGUUUUAGAAGCGAAUAAUGCAGUCAUGGGGGCCCAACCCAAAACCUCUUCUCCCACGUCCACUCCUCUACCCCCAAAAAGGACAGGACUCGAACCACCACCGUCCCGAGAACACUUAAGCACUGCAACCCCCAUGCCCACUCUCAGGGCACCCAAAACCUUGCCCAAUAACAGCCCCAAACCCACUGCCCCCAGACCAACGACAAUGACCAAACCAGCAGGGUUCAAAUCCACCACAAGAACUCAGUCUAAAUCAGUUACUGCUAAACCUUCAUGGUCAAAGCCUACAAUUACAAAACCCACCAGUACUAAAUCAACUGUCUCAAAACCCAUUAGCACAAAACCCACCAUCCUAAAACCCAACAGCACCAAACCUACUGUUUCAAAAUCCAACAGCACCAAACCCACCAUCUCAAAACCCAACAGCACCAAACCUACUGUUUCAAAAUCCAACAGCACCAAACCCACCAUCUCAAAACCCAACAGCACCAAACCUACUGUUUCAAAAUCCAACAUCACCAAACCCACCAUCUCAAAACCCAACAGCACCAAACCAACUGUCUCAAAACUCAACAGCACCAAACCUACUGUUUCAAAAUCCAUCAGCACCAAACCAACCAUCUCAAAACUCAACAGCACCAAACCCACUGUUUCAAAAUCCAACAGCACCAAAUACACUGCUGCAUCAAAACCCACAAACCCAAAACCUACAGGCUUCAAGCUAGCACUGUUGAAGCCCUCUAAACCCACACCCACAAAAUCUACAGCAGUCAAACCCACAUCUCAGAAAGUCCCUCAUCUCAAGCCCUCUCCUGCAAAACCCACUCCUGAUAGCAAGAAAACAUCAGUGAACCCGCCCCACAUUACUGCACCCACUGCAGCCAGGACCUCUAAGAGACAAACAGACCUGUUAAUGUCUUUAUCUGACCAGCGUCCUAUUAUCCCAAAAAAAGCAACCUCUAGCCCAGGUAAAAAAACACCACAGCCCAAAGCCAGCACCCAACGCACACCCAGACACACCCUACCUACGCCUAGUUCCAUGCCAUUCACCCCUCUUGUUUCAAAGAUGCCCCAGAACACCUUGCCAACUCCGAUUCCCACGAAAAUCCCCACAAAGACCCCGAAACCUCCUGCUACCUUACCGACAGCCACACUAACUUUAGAGACACAUACAGUUCUAGCUGCAGAUGGAGUUCAAAACUGGGAUCUGGAUCCAACACUGUUUGCUUCUCUAAUGGGACCACCAGGCGAAAAGGGAGAUUCUGGACCUCUGGGAAUUCAGGGACCUCCAGGAAAGCCAGGACUGCCAGGGAAGAGAGGACCACGGGGACCACCCGGACCACAUGGCAACCCAGGACGACCAGGUCCCCCAGGGUUUAAGGUAUGCUCCUCACUCUUUCUGUCUCCCUUUCUCUCUCUCUG